rnacentral:rRNA from 1 species
GCAGUCGACGAGACCUUCGGGUCUAGUGGCGCACGGGUGCGUAACGCGUGGGAAUCUGCCCUUGGGUCUGGAAUAACAGUUAGAAAUGACUGCUAAUACCGGAUGAUGACUUCGGUCCAAAGAUUUAUCGCCCAGGGAUGAGCCCGCGUAGGAUUAGCUAGUUGGUGAGGUAAAAGCUCACCAAGGCGACGAUCCUUAGCUGGUCUGAGAGGAUGAUCAGCCACACUGGGACUGAGACACGGCCCAGACUCCUACGGGAGGCAGCAGUGGGGAAUAUUGGACAAUGGGCGAAAGCCUGAUCCAGCAAUGCCGCGUGAGUGAUGAAGGCCUUAGGGUUGUAAAGCUCUUUUACCCGGGAUGAUGAUGACAGUACCGGGAGAAUAAGCCCCGGCUAACUCCGUGCCAGCAGCCGCGGUAAUACGGAGGGGGCUAGCGUUGUUCGGAAUUACUGGGCGUAAAGCGCACGUAGGCGGCUUUGUAAGUUAGAGGUGAAAGCCCGGGGCUCAACUCCGGAAUUGCCUUUAAGACUGCAUCGCUAGAAUUGUGGAGAGGUAAGUGGAAUUCCGAGUGUAGAGGUGAAAUUCGUAUAUAUUCGGAA